rnacentral:lncRNA from 1 species
UCGGUGCUCAGUAAGCUUCCAAGAAUAAAGGGAAGAAGGAGAAAGGAGCUCGAUGCCUCCAAAUGUACCUCUAUCCCUUAUCCAGGCGCGUUAGAGCGCCUCCAAAUUACGCCCCUAUUCCUAGGGGGUUCGUGUCUCAACUACACACAUCUUGCAACCACACCCAUCAAACUGGAAGGGCUGAAGUUUGAGGAUCACAGCGAUGGCUGGAACCAAAGCACCUGUGAAGUGAUAGCAAUAAGCCAUUUACACUCCAGUGGGCGGUUGGUUUAUCCGAGACGCUCAGCGAGCGUCUCCCGGGCCCCUGGGGGCUCCGGGGGCGGGGCCGGGGCCGGGGGCGGGGCGUCGGUCAGGGCCUGGGCUCAGGGUCUUCUGGUUCCCCCAGCGGCUCCGGGCCGGGGGCGGGGCCGGGGGCGGGGCCUAGACAGAGGGGUUCAGGCGGCCACGCCCCCCGCCCAGGACGGCUACAUUGAUUUCAUGGAGUACGUGGCGGCGCUGAGCCUGGUCCUCAAGGGGAAGGUGGAACAGAAGCUGCGCUGGUACUUCAAGCUCUACGACGUGGACGGCAACGGAUGCAUCGACCGCGACGAGCUGCUCACCAUCAUCCGGGCCAUCCGAGCCAUUAACCCCUGCAGCGACUCGACCAUGACCGCCGAGGAGUUCACCGAUACAGUGUUCUCCAAGAUUGACGUCAAUGGGGAUGGGGAACUCUCCCUAGAGGAGUUCAUGGAGGGCGUCCAGAAGGACCAGAUGCUCCUGGACACGCUGACCCGAAGCCUGGACCUUACCCGCAUUGUGCGCAGGCUCCAGAAUGGAGAGCAGGAUGAGGAGGGGGCUAGCGGCGGGGAAACGGAGGCCGUGGAGGCCGACGGCUGA